rnacentral:rRNA from 1 species
GAGGAAUAUUGGACAAUGGGUGGAAGCCUGAUCCAGCCAUCCCGCGUGAAGGAUGACGGUCCUAUGGAUUGUAAACUUCUUUUGUACAGGGAUAAACCUGCCCUUGUGAGGGCAGCUGAAGGUACUGUACGAAUAAGCACCGGCUAACUCCGUGCCAGCAGCCGCGGUAAUACGGAGGGUGCGAGCGUUAUCCGGAUUUAUUGGGUUUAAAGGGUCCGUAGGCGGGCCUGUAAGUCAGUGGUGAAAUCUCAUAGCUUAACUAUGAAACUGCCAUUGAUACUGCAGGCCUUGAGUAAAUUUGAAGUGGCUGGAAUAAGUAGUGUAGCGGUGAAAUGCAUAGAUAUUACGAAGAACUCCAAUUGCGAAGGCAGCUCACUGGAGUGUAACUGACGCUGAUGCUCGAAAGUGUGGGUAUCAAACA